UACGGAGGGUGCGAGCGUUGUCCGGAAUCACUGGGCGUAAAGGGCGCGUAGGUGGCUCGUGAAGCGUGCGGUGAAAGUCCGAGGCUCAACCUCGGAUCGGCCGUGCGGACUCGCGGGCUCGAGCGUUGUAGAGGCGGGUGGAAUUCCGGGUGUAGCGGAUGGAAUGCGUAGAUAUCGUCUGGAACGCCAAAGGUGAAAACAGUCUGCUGGGGGCUUGCUGACGCUGAGACACGAAAGCCAGGGAGGCGAACGGG
rnacentral:rRNA from 1 species